rnacentral:rRNA from 1 species
AACGAACGCUGGCGGCAUGCCUAACACAUGCAAGUCGAACGAGACCAUCGGGUCUAGUGGCGCACGGGUGCGUAACGCGUGGGAACCUGCACUUGGGGUCGGACUAACUCCCCGAAAGGGGUGCUAUUACCGGAUAAUGUCUUCGGCCCAAAGAUUUAUCGCCUUUGGAUGGGCCCGCGUUGGAUUAGCUAGUUGGUAGGGUAAAAGCCUCCCAAGGCGACGAUCCAUAGCUGGUCUGAGAGGAUGAUCAGCCACACUGGGACUGAGACACGGCCGAGACUCCUACGCGAGGCAGCAGUGGGGAACAUUGCACCAUGGGCGAAAGCAUGAUCCAGCACUGCCGCGUGAGUGAUGAAGGCCUUAGGGUUGUAAAGCUCUUUUACCCGGGAUGAUAAUGACAGUACCGGGAGAAUAAGCCCCGGCUAACUCCGUG